UACGUAGGGUGCGAGCGUUAAUCGGAAUUACUGGGCGUAAAGCGUGCGCAGGCGGUUCGUCGUGCCUGAUGUGAAAGCCCCGGGCUCAACCUGGGAAUGGCAUUGGAAACUGGCGGACUAGAGUAUGGCAGAGGGGGGUGGAAUUCCGCGUGUAGCAGUGAAAUGCGUAGAGAUGCGGAGGAACACCGAUGGCGAAGGCAGCCCCCUGGGCUAACACUGACGCUCAGGCACGAAAGCGUGGGGAGCAAACAGG
rnacentral:rRNA from 1 species